rnacentral:lncRNA from 1 species
CCUUGACGUGCCUGUUGUUCCUUCCAGUGGCCAGCUCCGUGCCUUGUGCACCUGAGAAGCCCCCAAGAACACUGCUGCCUUCCCUUUCCUGUUGCUUGCCUCCUCUCAAGAUCUUUGUUCCAAAAGGCUUCCAGAAAGAUGGUGUACCUUGUGGCAGAUGAAGGUCUUCUUUGUUAAUUACUUAACUCUUCAAGCCCUUUGCUGCAAACAUCUCCAUCCACAAGCCAGGCUUCUGGCCAGCGUGGCCACUCCUGAAGACCAGGCAGAGAAAGGCAAACAGCAGGUCUGCAGGGAGGAUAUGGCAUAACGAAGCUGUGAGCAAGGCUUUACCAUCAAGCCAUAAACUGCCCCAACAACAUCUCCUGGCUGGCUAAUGGCACACCUAAUAGACUGAGUGAGUAUGCAUGGAUUCACUGGAAUCUCUGUCCCUAUUAUGAAUGCGCUGAAUGACAUAGAAGCUCAGGCUCUGCAAGGCAAAGUAGGUAAAAUAACACUAAGACCUAUUCUUCUCUAGGUUCCUACAAGCCUCUGGGAAGAUGAGGGAUUAAUGAUGGGUGUUUGUUUUCCUGUAGAUUUCUAAUCAUACUUCUGUUGCCUCCUAUUAUAUACACAUACAUGGUGUUUGUUCCUUCUCCACUAGAAAAAAAAAAAAAAAGAGGAAGUGAAUUGGGGGGAGUCCAAUUACUGGAACUUAAUUAAAACAAUUUAAAAAUGACUUAAGCAAUUAUCUAACAAGUGAUCUCUUUGGUAGCAGCUGUACACAGACAAUUUAUUAGUUAGUGAGGCCAACCCUGUUUUUUUAAUAUAAACAGACUAAUUAAUCAGUGGUUAACUCUUGUAAUGACCAACUCUGGCAUUUAAUUAUUGCUGCUGUCAUCAAGCAUAAUCAUUUAUUUCCCAGGGUUAUUAUACAAACUGCCAACAGUGACCAGUCCGUGAGAAGUUUAAAGUGCUUUCCCUAAUUGUCUCUCAGUUCCACAUCCUCAGGACUUUUUUAGAGCACGUUUUUCCUAGUGUGAAAAGUUCCACCCAGCUUUUUGGCUCGGUGGCAAAUUUCCAGGAAUGCUGAGAAACUUCCCAGUUCUUCCAUGUUUUAGUUGCCAGAGCGGGAAAGGAGGAGGAAAGUGUUUCUUUCCCGCAUUAGAAAUCAUAGAACAGUAGAAUCAUAGAAGGGCUGGAAGGUUGGAAGAGACCUCAGAGAUCACUUCGUUCCAUUCCCCUACCAUGGGCAGGGCUGCCACCCACCAGAUCAGGCUGUCCAGGGCCCCAUCCAACCUGGCCCUGUACACCUGCAAGGAUGGGGCACCCACAACCCUUAAAAGGAGGCACAGGCAUUAGGUAAGGCACAAAAAUCUCAGAGGUGAGCCUGCCUUCCUGGAGGGUCCUUCUGUGGCCACCUGUGCAGGUGCAGAGUGCUGAGCCAGGGUAAGCUGUGUGCGCAGGGACCUGCGCUGCCCUUCUGUUUCCCUGCAAUUACCCAGCCCUGUGAGUAAAAGAUUUUUUAACAGAUUUAAUAAACCUGAAAUGCCCAGCA